CCAGCUGCUAACUUCUGGACCAGCGACGUUGCCUGAUGAGUUGAUGGCUAUAAGUCAGCCAGGUCAGCCGCAGAGCGAGGGACAAGCAGCCGUGCCAACUCUUCUCUCCCAGCAGAUGUCUGAGACAUCUCCAUUACCUUCAGCUAUGGCAACCAACCAGAAUAUUGAGAAGAUAGAUGAUCUGCUUGUGUCAUUGCAAAACCAGGGGAACAAUAUGGCUGGCUCCUUUUAAUUAGUCAAAAAUUCUGUGAAGAAAAAAGUGAUGAUUUCCCAGAUCCUCUCAGACCUUCCAGCUCUGGAUUAGGCUGUGUGGAACUGAUUGCUUCUGUCAAAGAGUGGCCCUCUUCUUUAAAGAGCACACACAUGGCCAAUUGCAACGUCUAGCACCUAAGGCUAUGACCAUAGUAUUUGGGAUUUGUAGUGCCAAUAAUGCUGAAAAGCUAUGCUUUGUUUUACUAGGGCAUGGGAUUGUACUGUUACCAGAUUCCUAAACCUCAUUAAUAGUGGGGUGCUCUUUGAAUUUAAAGCAUAUCUAAUCAGCUAUUAUUGCUGGUAGAAGGUAAUACGUCACCACGUUUACUAUUGUUUCCUCCUCUUCCUUCUUUACAUCCCUCUUUUGACUAGAAAAGCUUGUGAAGCAGAAACAUCAAAUGCCUGUGCCAUGAGCCACAACUCACAGCUGUCAAUAAGUGAAGGGAUCAUGUUUUAGAGUUGAGUGGGAGAGCUAAUACUGCAAUUUGCUGAUUGCAGUAGGCAGCAAUGACAAAUAGUGAUAACUUUAAUCAGCAAGCAGAGGAUUGUUCGCUUCUGUAGAUAGCCACAGGUGGGCGCUUCCCAUCUGCAGAUGUGAUUAACGGUUCUCCAUGUCUCUUUACAUGUGGCUUGUACAUGGGGCAAGGGUUUGGUGGCUCUAACAAAAUGAAGAAAUUAAGGGGAUUUCAAUUCAAUUUUUCUUUUAAAAUCUUAUCCUCUAAAAUACCUUCUAAAGAAGAUUCUGCCUGGCUGAGGAAGGAAGUCUGUGUCUCUUGACUGGAUGGGUUCGAACUCUGUAAAGCUGCGUUAACCAUUCUCAAACCAGCCUUCUCCCUUCAAUUCUUCUCAUGGUUUUCCUUCUCUCUUCCUCAGUUUCAUAUUGUGUUUUAAAAAAAGACAUAAAUAUCCUAAUGGCUUUAAAUAUCAGAAGUAACUUUUAGGAAUCCGUGGCAUUAAAUUGCUUAGUCAGUGGAAGUUUUGACAAGUAAUCAAGGAUUAAGGAGAGAGGAAGCAAUUUCUCCACCACCUUCUAAAUGCAGGAACCCCCCUUAACCAGGCAUUUUUCCAGCUGUUAUUGAUGUAAAUCUUCAGCUUGACUUUACUCCAAGUAGGGGGCAAAUUACUUCAUUUUUAAGCAUUCUGGAAAAUUUCACUUCAUCCUGAGCUGUUGCAUCUUUGUAGCAUAUUGAGCUCACUGCAGUUUUGAGGUUGGUUUGUUUUUUUUUUCACCUACCAACAGUCCCCCAAGUCUAGUUUCUAGAUUGUCAUGUUUCAAUUUAAAACGAGAAAGAAAACAUCGACGAAUGUUACAGAAUGUAAAAACAACCCACUCCAGACCAUGCAGUUGUAUUGUGAGGCAUGUGCAUUUUUUGGGUGCUCCAACUAUCUGAACAGUUUUGUGAAUUUUCACUACAGCCUCAUUCAGAUCUUUGUUUCUUCUUCUGCACGUAGAAAGCUGUUGCUGCCUUUAGAGCCAGACAGCUGUCAUGUAUGGCGAUUAUGCCUUGGUAGAGUGUAGUUGGUAUCAUGUCAUUUUACAUUUUUGUUAUUUUGAAUAACAAAGACUAGUCUGUAAAUGGUUUUUUAAGUUCCUCUAGUCUGUUUACUGUGUGUUUUUUCCCUUAACUUGUGUGCUUAGUUGAGCCGUGUAGAGUUUUUGUUUGUUUAAUGGAUUUUCCCGUUUGUCAGUCUGUCCUACCGUUCACUUUCUCUUUCUGUCUCUCUCUUUCUCUCUCUCAUUGAGAGGCAUUGAAUUACGUUUUCAGUAGUAAGGCUUCUUGCCGAUAUGAAGGGAACUUUUCAGAAAGAGACCUGCUCUGGGUCAUUUAAUUUUGAAUACAGUUUUCAAUCGUUCAAGUUUUGGAUGGUUUAUAUCUAAUGUGUGUUUCAUUUUUUUGGAAAGCUAUAUUUUGUAUUUAGGAAAUGGUAUACUAUUUUGCUAUUUGUACUGAGUGAGUACAUUGGCAUAAAUAUAAAAAUUUAUAUAUAUACAUAUAUAUAAAAUAUUCUUUUUGCCACACAUUUUUGUGGUAAAUUUGUGAGUUUGUCUGAUGUUCUACCACAACGUGGCGUCUGAUAACAGUGGGGUGGGGUGGGGUUUGUUAUGUCUUUAUUGAGUAUUUAAGUACUUUUUGCAACAUAAACAACUUGUUCAUCUCUCGCCAUUCCAUCAGGCAGUUUAUUGUUCCAACUGGCUAUGAGAAGCUUCCCUGUGUGUUCUGAUGUGUCCGUCACUCAGCAAUACAGUCUAGCAAGGAAACCUGUAGGCAUUUAGGCAUAUAUAAAGUAACAGGGUUUCAUUCAGGAUGAGCCAUUCAGCUUUUGUCCACGAUCAUUGUCUAUUUAAUAUUUUUAUUAUUAGUGCCUCUGUGUUUUAACUCUUAAUUUAUGAUUAUGCUAAUAUGUUUAAAAUUUUAAUCAUGAUAAAUACAAUUCCCUGCUUCCUAAUGUCCACUGCUGCUUUAACCCUGAACCAUACCUUUUCUUUCUGUGAUUUAUUUUUUAUCUCCUGCUAAGACAAGAUAUUAACAAUCUCUUUAUGGUUCAUGACAUGAAAGCAGCAAUCUAAAUGCUAUAUGAGGCUAUGUAGAAGACUGAGAAUUAUGGACCGAAGCAACUUCCAGAUGCUUGUGGAAGUCGAUAGCCAGUUAUUUGAAAAUGAACUUGUGGCUUUUGCAGGAUCACAGUCCCAGGACAAGCUGCUGGGUGUUGUCCAGAGCCUUCAUACACAGAAGAAGUAACAGGAAUGAUAAAUUCACUUGUGUGCUGCUUCAGUUUGUUCUGUUGUUCCAAAGGGGUGUAUCCUUACGUGGAAGUGUGGUUGGUCAGUGCCAAGUCACCAGGGACCAAUUCUCCAUUUAACAAGAUGGGUGUCCAAAAGAGAACUUCAUACCAAGACUGCUACAGCUCCAGGGGAAGGGUAUGUCUGAAUUGUGUGCGUGUUUUGGGUCGCUCGUGAAGAGAAGAGAAAAAAAAUGUAAAAUAAUAAAAAAGGGCUGUGCUAUCACGUUUUUCACUUCUGGAUAACACCUUUUCUUGUGUUAAAUUUAUCGUGUUCAUUUUAGGUCAAUGUUUAAAUGUACAACACUUGGAACAUGUGAUUUGGUUACAAAAAGUAUUUGUCUUCUGAAUGAAGAGAUUGCUCAGUGGUUGAUCAGUGCUUGCAGACAGCUGUUACAGAGGAUAAACAGAGGUUUGAUAAGCCAGUUAAAAGAGCUUAAAGACGGGCUGCAGGAUUUCAUGGCAGAAAGACCCAAGAAGAGUGUGAGCCACAUCUGUAUUUUAUCAGUCCUGAACAUUUACUUUUGGCAUUUAAGCAGUUGGUAUUGAUAAUUGGAGCUUACUCUGAUUUUUUUCUUUUAUUUUAAUCCCAUCCCUGUAUUUACUACUCUGCAUGCUCACUCUGGAUUGCCUGGGAUCUGUGAGUAGAUGGAUUCUCAGUAGUUGCCUGCAGAGGUGAGGCGGUGGCAUCAUGUCUAGUCCAUUUUGGGUGAGAAAGAAGAUACUGAGAUAUUAGUCUCUAUAAAUUUGAAGUUCUCGAUGCCAUUACUCUAAAGGGGAAGUUACUGUCAUAUCCGCAAAGCAGCAAUAAAGUGUCGAAGAUACUACUGGGUGAAAAUGGAAAACUGUAGAGCUGCAUUGCUGGGAUGGGUUUUAAGUGUCUUGGUUUUUUCGGCUGCCUUGAGCUCACUUCUGAAAGAACCAAGAAGUCUAAACCUCCGUGUUCAGUGUGGGCAGUACUCUUGAGCAUGUGCCUCUAACUCACCCAUGGUCCGCUCUGCGCAGCGUCUGUGGGGUGUUGGGUUCACAGAACACCCAUUUGUUGGCACAGGUUAAAAUCUGGGGAGAAUUAACCUGCUAGCUGCCAGUCAUGACUGCUGCAUGCAUUCUCUUGGCUGCUUAUACACUGGGUAUAUGUGUGUAUAUAUGUAUAAAAAUUGUAUGAAUAGCACAUAAUACACAGUUGUCAGCAUCUCCUCUGGCAGGAAGUUAUUGGAUCUUUGUGCUUAAUUAGCAAGUCCACGUUUUGUUAUUAAUUGCCUCCUCACUGUCUGAUCUUUCAGCAGUUAUUCAAGCCAAAUGUUUUUUUAUUAUUUUAAUAUAAAAGUAGUUCCAGAAAUUAUUUCAGGCUUGCUGAUUCAAAGUGGAUGUUUAAUCACCAAUCAUUUCAUUAUGAUUACUUCUAAUUACUGAUAGCGUGGUUACUUCCUGUAUAGUUUUAAAGUAGAAUAAAGCAUGAGCAGUUCAGCAUUUGUCACUUUGGCAGGUUUUUUAACUGGAAAAACUGAGAGUCUGGGCAGCUGUAUCAGUGGACAUUCCCCUAAUUUAGAUAAGUUGAUUUAUUUGUAUUUAUUUACUUUUUAAGCUUCUAUUGUGAUUUUGGUUUAGGAUAUCGUUUCUAAAUAGAAAACUUGUCUGAACGGAUUUUCUAUUACCUUUCCAGAGUCUUCAGAAAGAAUACUAAUCAAGUCAGAAGCUUGCAUUUGUCUUAAAACCUAGUUUAAAUCAUUAUUUGAGGAAGAGGAAAGAUGAUUUAUUAAAAAGCAAAAUCCAAAAGUUGUUGCUGGACUAAAAAAGCUGCACGUGGUUUCCCCUAAGGGUAUGUUCAUUAAGAGGAAAGAGUUUGCCUGUCAGUGUUUGGCUCUCUACAGUGCUUCUGUGCAGCAAACUGGGGCUGCUUUUUCAGGGUAAUUCCACGAAAGGAGUACGAGGGAUUACAGGCAGCGACAGAGGCAAGAACAAGGAGAAUGAAUUGCUUUGCAUGCUCUGAGCUAUGAGGUGUGUGUGGAAGUUGAGAAGAACUAUUGAUCACUGGUGACUUUUCAUUAGUGCAGUGUUUAUUUUCAAGGAAUAGGUGUUUGUUGUGUUCUGGAGGACUGGUGACAGUUCCAGUCUUUUAGCAGCUAAAAGGAAACAAGCACUGAGAUGCUUUCUUUGGCUGGGGGAUUUGUUUCAAUUUGGAGCAGUCUUUUGAGAUAGAUUGUGAGCUGUUGAAAUGGGAUAAAGAAACUUGCAGCAGCAGAUGAACUCUGGUAGAAGUGUACUUGUAAAGUUCUUUAAUGGAGUUUGGGGCUCUGAGGGGUCACGCAGGAGGGAGCAGCUUUUCCUUUCUUACAGUCUGUAUAAGUAUGUAAAUAGGCAAUGCCUGUAUAUUCUAGGAUUAUAUAUAUGUAUAUAGAGGAAUCAUAUCUAUUAUACACAAAUGAUAAGUAGGCACAUGCAUAGAAUACUGUUAUAUUUACAUUUUUAUAAACCUGAAAUAAUACUACUUUUCCUUAGUAUGAGGUCAUUUACCAAGGGUUUUGUAGUUAUUCAUUAAUAGUUGUCUGAACACUUGAGUACCGUACAUGUGGUGCUGUUGGUAGCAUUGCUCUGCUUGUGAACGUCACUGAUAGCUGUGGGUUGGAAACAGCUGUACACUUUUGUACUUUUAUAUGUUUUUAUUCAUAGUUUCAGCUGUGGGGUAGCGAAGCACUCGAACUGACAGCCCUGGGCAGAGCUGCUGCUGGAUGGGCUCUGGAGAUGCGGCGGCAGCAUGGGCUGUCUGCAUCCGUGUGCUCCCCUGCCAGCUUUCCAUGGGUUACUCCUGAUUUGGGGACCUUUUCCCGUUCUCAGUCUCCUGCAGCUCGUGCAGGUAGGGAAUGGUGGUGGCCGUGUUGCUCCGGAGGAGCUGGGCUGAGGCCAGCAGCUCUCUGCUGGUGGGUUAUAGUUGUUGCAGAGCAAAGAAUCAGGCUGCAGCUCAGCUGGGUUGUGUUUGGAUCGAGAAGGUUAAGCUUAUUCUGUCACUCCUCUCUCUUAUCAUAGAGACAGGCAUGUUUACUUUCUUUAAUCUGACAUUUUACUGCAACAGUCCAUAUCUACAAAACUCCUUGGAAGCUGGUGAGAGCUCUCCUUGGUUUUCAGGCAUGAGGGACCCUGUACGCUGAUCUCUUACUUAGAUUGUGUGAGGAGCUAAACUUUCUCAAAGAAAUCCAGAUUGUCGUGUCACUGGUGUGUAUUUUAUUCACCAGGACUCUUGAUGACGAAUCAGGUGCAGUUUGACAGGAGGUUGAUCACUGAACAUUGUUGUCCUGGUACAGGCUCUAUCCAAGCAACUCUGCCAAACUGAAUGCAAAUGCCCUGAUUUCCUCUCUUUGAGCCAUCAUUUUGCAGGUCUCAUCUCUGCUGUUCCAGAGAUCUGUAAUUUUUGCUGUUACAGUUCAUGAAAUUGCCUCACAAUAUUCAAGUGUUUUGGGGGUGAGGAACCCCAGGAUUCCUCUGCUUGCUGUGGGACACUCACCGACACUCUGCUUGGUUCAGACUCCAAACCUCCACCACCCAGCAGCACUGUGAAAUACUCCAGUUGUGUUUGUUUGCUCCAGGACUCAGAUGAGUCAAGGGCCCUGUGUUGGGAUCGUGUAGAUGUCCAUGACUUCGCUGUGGUCCCUGGAGCUGCCCCUCUGAGCUGGGGCUGGUCUGAUCCGAGUGUCCCUUGUUCAGGAGUGUGGCUGUUGCAGAGGUUGGGAUAACAGUGCUCGGGGGAAGCUCCCUUUUGGAAGGAUAGAGAGCAGUGCCUCGGGGUGUUGCAGAACUGUGCACACAUUCCCAUGUCCUGCUUAGUAGACCACAGUAUUCCUGAAGCCUUUUUAUUGCGGACGUGAUUUGAACUACUUACGUUUGAGCUCAUUAUUAAGGAGUAAGCUCCAACAAACCUUGAGAGCAGAGCUUUCUACCUCUGUCACUAGCUGCAUCUUGGAGUGGCUUUACCCACCUUUCUGCCAUGCUUUCCUGGGGCACCGGUCAACUGCUGAGCUGCCUCUUCCACUGUCCUGCAAUGUGAAAGUAGCACCAGAUAUUCCUUUGUGCAUUUCUGUGUAUAUGGCUUUCGUAGUUGGGGGUUUUCCAAGCACUGAUACCCAGUGUUUUCAGUUUGUUCUACGAGGGGAUAUUUUAUUUGCAUCUAUGUUUUUAGCUAUCCUGUGAUAACUUGUUGAAUAUUAAAAAACAAAAAUAUUUUGCUUCUAUUGGGACAUUUGUAUACUCGCAACUAUAUUUCUGUAAACAGCUGCAGUCAAGAAUAAAACAAUGAAAGUUUUCAUUUUGCAGUGUAAA
rnacentral:lncRNA from 1 species